rnacentral:rRNA from 1 species
CAGUCGCCGCGGUAAUACAGAGGAUGCAAGCGUUAUUCGGAAUGAUUGGGCGUAAAGCGUCUGUAGGUGGCUUUUCAAGUCCACCGUCAAAUCCCCGGGCUCAACCCUGGACAAGCAGUGGAAACUACCAAGCUGGAGUACGGUAGGGGUAGAGGGAAUUUCCGGUGGAGCGGUGAAAUGCGUUGAGAUCGGAAAGAACACCAACGACGAAAGCACUCUGCUGGGCCGACACUGAUACUGAGAGACGAAAGCUAGGGGAGCAAAUGGGAUUAGAUACCCCCGUAGUCCCUGUCUCUUAUAC